rnacentral:rRNA from 1 species
GAUGAACGCUGGCGGCGUGCCUAAUACAUGCAAGUCGAGCGAACAGAUGAGGAGCUUGCUCCUCUGACGUUAGCGGCGGACGGGUGAGUAACACGUGGAUAGCCUACCUAUAAGACUGGGAUAACUUCGGGAAACCGGAGCUAAUACCGGAUAAUAUAUUGAACCGCAUGGUUCAAUAGUGAAAGACGGUUUUGCUGUCACUUAUAGAUGGAUCCGCGCCGCAUUAGCUAGUUGGUAAGGUAACGGCUUACCAAGGCAACGAUGCGUAGCCGACCUGAGAGGGUGAUCGGCCACACUGGAACUGAGACACGGUCCAGACUCCUACGGGAGGCAGCAGUAGGGAAUCUUCCGCAGAGGGCGAAAGCCUGACGGAGCAACGCCGCGUGAGUGAUGAAGGUCUUCGGAUCGUAAAACUCUGUUAUUAGGGAAGAACAAAUGUGUAAGUAACUAUGCACGUCUUGACGGUACCUAAUCAGAAAGCCACGGCUAACUACGUG